UAAAACACCUUGAGAUAUAUAUUUAUAAUUUAUUAAUUUUUAUCGUAUAAAUGUAUCGUGUUUAACAUUCAUGGACCCAUGUUGUGUAACAUCGAGACAAGCUUGUGUCAUCGGGCUGUGGCCUUAGGGUCAGUCGUCGACCCUCCAGUAUUGUCCUACAAUUUUCCCCGCUUCAACCCGUCAAUCAUUAACCUUAAGGUUGUCGUCGUUCACCCUUUUUCCUCCUCCCCCUUUCCUUUCAUUCCCUUCUUAUCUCCUUCUUUGUCUCUCCCUCUCCUCUCAUUCCCUUUUCUCCUCAUUUUACCACCUCGCGGUUGCUUCUGUUGUGGUCUCCAAUUUGGUUAUCAUUGCUGACCUCGCCAAAAAUUGUUGGGACCUAGUGUCUUUAAUGUAGUGAUUUCAUCUAUAUGAACUUAUAUUUUUCAAACAAAUUAGUUUAAUAAAAUAUCCAUCAAUUCUAUUAUAUAUCCAUAUAUUGUCCUCAAUAUUUUUUACACACAAAGUAAAAUGAAAGAAAAUUGGAGGGAUUAGCUCUUACGAGCAUUGAUGUGUUUCGAAUGGAUUGGCUCUUAUGAGCAUCUGGUGUGUUUUGGUUGGAUUGUUGAUGUACUCGUAUCUAUAAGAUGUUCAUCAAAUUGAAAAUCUCGAUAAGGUAUCUUGUUUCAUGAUUUUAAUGGAAUUGCUAUAUAUAUAUUGAGUAUUGAAUUGAAUGUUGGUGAUUUUUCGGUUAAGGUUGUGAAUAACAGGAAACAUUCAUGGUUGGCUUAUUAUUAUUUGAAUUGUUGCACUUACUUCGGUAAGAUUUAUUGUUUUAAUACGUCAAACUUACUAAGCUUCAUUAAGCUUACUUGUGUUAUUUACUGUUAUUGUAGAUACUCAAGGUUGGACGAUUGGAUCGGCACUCAAGUCACACACUAUCCAACUUAAUUCAAUAGUUUUUGGAAUGUUUGUUUCGGAUUAUAUGGUAUGUAAUAGGCUUUUGUGUUGUUAUUACUAAUUUUUUGAAAUAAGUAAAAUGUUAAGUAUGAUAUUAUGUGUAAAUGCCAACUUAUAUAAUGUAUGUGAUUAAGGUAAGGUUCUAACGCAAAUAUGAAUGAUAUGUGUCAAUGA
rnacentral:lncRNA from 1 species